rnacentral:rRNA from 1 species
UACGGAGGGUGCAAGCGUUAAUCGGAAUUACUGGGCGUAAAGCGUGCGUAGGCGGCCUGUUAAGUCAGAUGUGAAAGCCCCGGGCUCAACCUGGGAGCGGCAUUUGAAACUGGCAGGCUAGAGUUAGGUAGAGGGGAGUGGAAUUUCAGGUGUAGCGGUGAAAUGCGUAGAUAUCUGAGGGAACACCAGUGGCGAGGGCGGCUCCCUGGACCCAAACCGACGCUGAGGUACGAAAGCGUGGGUAACAAACAGG